rnacentral:ncRNA from 1 species
CAAAUCCUUCGGGGCGGGGUGAAAGUCCCCACCGGCGGUAAAGCCCGCGAGCUGAAGAAUGUGGUGUCCCGCAGGGGCCGCUGGCCUGGCUGUAGCCGGCCAGAGGAAGCAUUCUGAUGCCGACCCGGGGAAGUUCCGGGGCCGACAGUGACAGUCUGGAUGGAAGAGGGAUGGG